rnacentral:rRNA from 1 species
UACGAGGGGUGCAAGCGUUAUUCGGAAUCAUUGGGCGUAAAGCGCGUGUAGGCGGUUCGGUAAGUCGGCUGUGAAAGUCCAGGGCUCAACCCUGGGAUGCCGGUCGAUACUGCCUGACUAGAGUUCGGAAGAGGCGAGUGGAAUUCCCGGUGUAGCGGUGAAAUGCGCAGAUAUCGGGAGGAACACCAAUGGCGAAGGCAGCUCGCUGGGACGUUACUGACGCUGAGACGCGAAAGCGUGGGGAGCAAACAGG